GCUCUGGUUCACCAUAUGGAUGCUCUUAUUUGAGACACACACAACACACACACACACACACACACACGUACACAUGUGUGUGCGUGUGUGUAUGUGAGUUGUACAGCGUAUGGAUGUACCCAUUCUUGAAUUUCCCCUGGGGAUCAAUAAAGUAUCUAUCUAUCUAUCCAUCUGUAAGAUAUAUCCACCAUUCCCAUCCUCCCACUGCUCAAGUUCACUUGCCCACAUCAUCUAAGCUGCCUUCUGGAAAUAUCCACACACACACACACACACACACACAGCAGUUCCAGGUAUUGUGCAUAUGCUUCUGAUCAUUAUUUUCUUCCAUUUAUCUUGUCCCUUUUUAUCAUGAAUAGGCCUGAAGGCAGGUACUGUAUGUGCUGUACAGUAUGUGUGUGUGUGUGUGGGUGGGUGUCAUGUUUCAUCUGACCAUACAUUCACAUAUGAGCUGUGUCCUGCAGAGACAGUUAAUCAAGGCAAUCAGCCUUUCCGUUGGAAGCAUUGUAGUAAUUACAAGAGCCUUAAACAAGUUAUAAUGAGCACAAUGCUAAGCUAAUCCACUCUAACAUGUCUGUCUGUGUGUGUGGGAGGUAGCUAUGUAUGCAAAUCUGUGUGUGUGUGUGUGUGUGUGUGUGUGUGUGUGUGUGUGUGUGUGUUCAUGAGUAUGAGUUCAUCUGUUUACUAUUGAUCCUGAGGCAGGAUCACACCAGCUGCACCCACAGGAGGCUGUGCUGCCGCUGUGCUACUGCCUGAGGUGAGACGGUCUGUAAUUACGCAUCGGAGAUCCGAGACUCUCUUGGCACACCGCACACAAGCAGGAGCUGCUCUCCCUGCCAGAGCACUCAUUUAACGGCAGAAAGGCAAAACAGACCACCUAGUGAAACUUGCACUCUCCGCUAUGAUUCCUUACUCUUAGUCUCUUACUUUUUCCCUGUUCCUCCUCUCCGCUAGCUAUUUAGCACCACUCGAAGAAUAUUGUUGGUUUACUGUUGUUGUUUUUUCCAAAAGAAAUGUAAACAAACCUCAGUACUCAAGGUACACAUCUGUAAUCAAAUUAGAGGAACAUAAAAAUUGCAGGAUGCUUAUUGAGUAUUGAAAGAGCAACUGUAAAGAGGGAAAAUUGAGCUUCAAAUGUUAGCAUUAUGAGCAAAUCAAAUCCCUUUCAGUGUAAUUUUAAUUGACACAUUAGUGACGGUUAGUACAUGGAGUGCCUCCAGACCACUAGGAAUUCAGUUCAAAGUGGUCUAUUAAAUGUCUGACUAAUGUAUUACAUCAAGCAAUGAAUGAUAUGUGCUUCCCCUCCUUAUCUGUGCAAUGGUUUCAUAUUCUUUUACCUUUUUGUGUUAUUUUUUUUUUGUUCUUCUCAUGCACCCAUCUUUCAUAACAGUGUGUAGGUGCACAGGUGAUCUUUAGAAUGAUGUGUAGACCCACAGACCCAGAAACCAAGACCCAUGGGAACACAGACACACACACACCUGAGAAAUCUUUACCUCUGGAGAAGGGGGACAUUUGCAAAGGAAGUGGAAAUUUCUGUCGGAUCGGAACAAGGAAAUAUGAAGUCGGAUAUAUCCAUCCUUUAAGCUCUCAGACACAGCAUCAGGAAUAUGUCUGGCCUUGAUGUUGUCCCCCGUCACUGUCAUCUGUGACCUCGUCUCUAAGUCACUCCUCUACUUCCAUCUGAAUCACUCCUACCAAAACAUUUCUGUUUGCUGAUUCACCACUUCAUUUGGGCAGGAAGAGAUGGGUCUCCAGCUGGAAUACUGGCCAGCCAGCCAAGGCAAUCGAAUCAAAGACAGAA